rnacentral:rRNA from 1 species
AGGGAUUCCCCUAGUACUGCGAGUGAGCGGGAAAAGCUCAAAUUUAAAAUCUGGUGGUCUUUGGCCAUCCGAGUUGUAAUUUAGAGAAGCGUCUUCCGCGCUGGACCGUGCAUAAGUCUCCUGGAAUGGAGCGUCAUAGAGGGUGAGAAUCCCGUCUUUGGCACGGACCCCAGGGCUUCUGUGAUGCGCUCUCAAAGAGUCGAGUUGUUUGGGAAUGCAGCUCAAAAUGGGUGGUGAACUCCAUCUAAAGCUAAAUAUUGGCGAGAGACCGAUAGCGAACAAGUACCGUGAGGGAAAGAUGAAAAGCACUUUGGAAAGAGAGUGAAACAGUACGUGAAAUUGUUGAAAGGGAAACGCUUGAAGUCAGUCGCGUCGACCGAGACUCAGCCUCGCCUCGGCUUGGUGUACUUCUCGGCUGACGGGUCAGCAUCAAUUUCGAUCCUUGGAUAAUGGCAAGGGAAAGGUAGCACCUUUAUAGGUGUGUUAUAGUCCUCUGUCGGAUGCAAGGGUCGGGAUUGAGGAACUCAGCACGCACCUUUUAGGUGUCGGGGCCUCGGCCUACGUUACGUGCUUAGGAUGCUGGCAUAAUGGCUUUAAACGACCCGUCUUGAAACACGGACCAAGGAGUCUAACAUGCACGCGAGUGUUCGGGUGGAAAACCCGUGCGCGUAAUGAAAGUAAAAGUUGGGACCUCUGUCGUGGAGGGCACCGACGCCCGGACCAGACCUUCUGUGACGGCUCCGCGGUAGAGCGUGUAUGUUGGGACCCGAAAGAUGGUGAACUAUGCCUGAAUAGGGUGAAGCCAGAGGAAACUCUGGUGGAGGCUCGUAGCGAUUCUGACGUGCAAAUCGAUCGUCAAAUUUGGGUAUAGGGGCGAAAGACUAAUCGAACAUCUAGUAG